rnacentral:rRNA from 1 species
AAUUCCGGUUGAUCCUGCCGGAGGUUACUGCUAUCCGAAUCCGGUUAAGACAUGCGAGUCGUUGCCGCAAGGCAAGGCGAACUGCUCAGUAACACGUAGUCAACCUACCCUUGGGUCAGGGAUAAGCGCGCGAAAGUGCGGCUAAUACCUGAUAGUCGCCUAUACCUGGAAUGGUUUGGCGAUUAAAGCUUCGGCGCCCAAGGAUGGGACUGCGGCCGAUCAGGCUGUUGUGAGGGUAAUGUCCUCACAAACCUAUAACCGGUAGGGGCCAUGAAAGUGGGAGCCCCGAGAUGGAUUCUGAGACAUUAAUCCAGGUCCUACGGGACGCAGCAGUUACGGAAACUCCACAAUGCGCGCAAGCGUGAUGGGGGGAUUCGGAGUGUUGCAGCUUUUAGUUGCAACUUUUGCCGAGGUUAGUGCCCUCGGAGAAUAAGUGGUGGGUAAGACGGGUGCCAGCCGCCGCGGUAAUUCCCGCGCCACGAGUGGUAAUCGCGAUUAUUUGGCAUUAAGAGUUCGUAGCCGGCUUAGCAAGUCUCUAGUGAAAUCUGGCAGUUGACUGUCAGGCGUGCUGGGGAU